AGAGUUUGAUCCUGGGUCAGAUGAACGCUGGCGGUGCCUUACACAUGAAGUCGAACUUUCAGCCGGAGCUUGCUCUGGUGGCGAGUGGCGAACGGGUGAGUAAUAUAUCGGAACGUACCCUAGAGUGGGGGAUAACGUAGCGAAAGUUACGCUAAUACCGCAUACGAUCUAAGGAUGAAAGUGGGGGAUCGCAAGACCUCAUGUCUCGAUGGAGCGGCCGAUAUCUUGAUUAGCUAGUUGUGGUAGGGUAAAAGCCUACCCAAGGCAUCUGAUCAGUAAGCUGGUCUUGAGGAGGAUCGACCAGCCACACCCCUGGAACUUGAGAACACGGUUCCCAGACUCCUUACGGGAGGCAGCAGUUGGGGAAUUUUGGACAAUGGGCCAGAAAGCCUGAUCCAGCAAUGCCCGCCUGCCAGGAAUGAAGCCUUAGGGUUGUAAAACUGCCUUUUUGUACGGAACGAAACCGGCUUCCUCCUAAUACGAGGGGCUAAUGACGUUACCGUAAGGAAUAAGCACCGGCUACCUACGUGCCAGCAGCCGCGGGUAAUACGUAGGGGUGCGAGCGUUUAAUCGGAAUUACUGGGGCGUAAAGCGUGCGCAGGCGGUUAUAUAAGACAGAUGUGAAAUCCCCGGGCUCAACCUGGGAACCUGCAUUUUGUGAACUUGUAUAGCUAGGAGUACGGGUAGAAGGGGGAAUGGAAUUCCGCCCGUGUAUGCCAGUGAAAUUGCGUAGAAUAUGCGGAGGAACACCGAUGGCGAAGGCAAUCCCCUGGCACCUGUACUGACGCUCAUGCACGAAAGCGUGGGGAGCAAACAGGAUUAGAUACCCUGGUAGUCCACGCCCUAAACGAUGUCAACUGGUUGUUGGGUCUUCACUGACUCAGUAACGAAGCUAACGCGUGAAGUUGACCGCCUGGGGAGUACGGCCGCAAGGUUAAAACUCAAAGGAAUUGACGG
rnacentral:rRNA from 1 species